rnacentral:rRNA from 1 species
UUAAACGCUGAUGGUAUGCAUAACACAUGCAAGUCGGGCGGCAGCGGGUUAGUAGUAAUACUGAUGCCGGCGAGCGGCGGACGGGUGAGUAACGCGUAGGAAUCUGCCUUUUAGAGGGGGACAACCCAGGGAAACUUGGGCUAAUACCGCAUAAUACUUGAGGGUUAAAGGCUUCGGCCGCUAGAAGAUGAGCCUGCGUUGGAUUAGCUAGUAGGUUAGGUAAAGGCUGACCUAGGCGACGAUCCAUAGCUGUUCUGAGAGGAAGAUCAGCCACAUUGGGACUGAGACACGGCCCAAACUCCUACGGGAGGCAGCAGUGGGGAAUAUUGGACAAUGGGGGGAACCCUGAUCCAGCAAUACCAUGUGUGUGAAGAAGGCCUGAGGGUUGUAAAGCACUUUAGUUGGGGAGGAAGCUUGAUGGAUAAUCAAGUUGACGUUACCCAAAGAAUAAGCACCGGCUAACUCUGU